AGCGAGUGGUUGCUUUUAUACAGAUGAAUUGACCACAUUGGCAGGUAGGUGCAGGAUGUUAUCAGGUAGUUAAGGUUCAGUAUUGAGCCUUAGACACCUUUAAUGGUGGAGGGUGCUGUCCCCAGACAUGAUAUCCCUUGGAAUGGAAAGGAGUAUCUUUGAAGCCAACCUGUGACACCUGCUCAGAGUCGUGGGGCCCGAGAAGGGGGAGAAGCAGGAAAGCCUCUAUUCAGCUGCAACGUGGGCUUAAGGGAAGGGAUAGGUGAAACACUGCUUCUUACUCUUGGUGAGGUUUGGUCACCUGGUUCCUUACAUGCAAGUAGUAUCUCAUACCUUCAUUCCCUUCAACAGAUCCAUGGUGUUAAGUUAAUGGUUCCUUGUUUUCCUAUGUGGUUGUAGAACAGCUUUGAUUCCUAAUGCACCUAAUCUUUAUGAAUUGGGAAAAAAUUGUAUUCCCAGCCAGAUAAUUAUAACCUUUAGAGAUACCACUUUUCAAAAUAUACUGAUUGUAAUACAUAAUGUAUUGUAAACAUUUUUAUUGCAUUUUUACAGGCUUAGCUGUACAUCAAAUUAGGUUUACAGGAUACAUAAUAUAAAAGCUGAAACAAUUGUACAAGAAAUGUUUAAAAAAUGUGAUGGGUGUUUUUAUCAAACCUCAGGGUAUACAAAAGCAAUCAGUAAGUUAGGGAGGGGGAGGAAGGGCCCUUUAGAGUUUAUUCUUGAAGGAAAGUUGUUGGAUGUCUUUCAAAUUAUUAUGCCAGGCCAGAUAUUUUUUGCAUAAUGAGAACAUCUUUCAUGUGUCAGAACAGGUUUUGACUAUAACUAAAUAAGCCAAAGCACGGAUAUGCUGAUAAGGUGACCUUUAAUGUAAAGUUUGGGCUGAGUUAUCUGAAAGUAUUUCCUAAAACAGAGCCACAUCUGCCUGAUGAUAGAGAGGCACAUAAAACAAAAGGCAUUUGUAACUCAAGAUAUGAGAAGAAGAAUAUGGUUAUAUUGGUGCUGACAAAACAACAAACUAAAACAUGGGUGUCCUACUUCAUCCCUAUCUGCAUUAUACAUUUAAAGUGCUAUCAUACCACUUUUGCUUCCCCUGAAGAACCAUGGGAACUGUAAUUUUUAGAAUAUUUAUUUAUUUAUAUCCCACCUUUUCCCGAGACAGGGGUUCAAGGCAGCUCACAGAUAAAAUAGAACAGCUAAAAACAAAGGUGGUAAAAAUAAUAAUUUAAAAGCAAUUCAGCUCCUAUUUAAAAUACAGAUAAUUAUUUGUAAACAUAAAACAGUUGAUUGCUGAGUGUUGUUAUCAGACCCUUUUCCCCUCACAGAGCUACAAUUUCCAUGGUUCCCUGGGAAGAUGGAUUGACUGUUAAACCACUCUGAGAAUUGUAGCUCUGUGAGGGGAAGACGGUUCUCCUAACAACUCUCAGCACCCUUAACAAACUACACCCCCAGGAUUAUUUAGGGGCAGCUCGGACUGAUUAAAGUGGUGUGAUAAUGAUUUAAAUGUAUAGUGAAGAGGGUGCCUUAGCGAUAUGCUAUUGCCAAUAUCCAAAAUGAACAUGGCAGUUAUCACUAUGUAUUUACAGCCCAGCAAGCCUGCUCUUCAACUUGUGGUGUUUUAGUGUAAGUGCAUAAUAGUUCUCAUAUAUCUGGAAUUAUGUGAAGAUGGCACAUCCUGAAAUAUGGAAUGUGGUGGAGCAAAGUUUAGAGAUGGAGGACAAAAGGAGAGAGCUUUGUCAGAGGCCACUUGAUGGAUUUAAAGAGCCAGCACAAGAUGAUCCUGGUAGGUGGGGAAUCUGUUGUACUGAAUAUUAUAUCCAUUAGAAAUUGAGAAGGUGUUGCAGCAUUUCCCUAACUGAAGAGUAAGGCAUUGCAGCUUAAAGGAGGGAAAGAGUUGUGUGUGAAGAAGCAGCAGUUUGCUGGGUGUUGGAUGAGACAGGGGAAGAGAAAAGGCAGCAGAAACUGGGAGAGUUUCUGAAGGCAUCUUGGGUACAUAGGGCCUCUCUGAUAAUCCAGUGUGGGUAGCAAAGCUGCUGUUUUUGUAAAACUGCCUCUUUGCUCUGUUUGAAUAAAACACUCAUGUCCUGUUUGUAUCUUUGUAAAUAUUGCAAACAUGUGGUUAAGUUUUUGCAAUGAUCCACCAAAGGAUGUUAAGCCAAGUGCUUGGAGAUGUGCAGAGUUCAUAACAUCUUUGUACCUUCAUUCCUUAUAGUUGCUAGUUCAGCUUUUGUGAAGUUUCACCAAGUGAUAAGGCUAUUACUCUUACCAUCUGAUCAUGCAUCCCUCCAUAAGGUUAGAUUACCAUAAUACUCUGUGCAAAUGCUUGAGAUGGUUCAGCAAGUUCAGGACUGUUUCCACAGAGGGGUACAUUGGAAAGGGUACACGAUAGCCGUGCUUCUCUAUUUCAUAGGAUUACGAGUUAUUGAGACAGAAGAAAUCGUUCAGGGCCUCAAGCAACUUCCCAGUAUAUGAGCAGACUGAAAAUUAAACUGAUAGAAAUUCAGUAUUUAAAACGUAAUGAAUAUAAUGUAAUGUAACAAAGCUGCACAAUUCAGUUUGGCUGCAGUUGGGUAAGCCCCAUUGAACUCAGUGGGAUCGACUUCAGAAUAAACAAGCCUAGGGUUGCUCUGUGUCCAUGUGAUUUAGCCUAUUCUUCUGAUGAAAUGUGGUCCUUGAAGAACGAAGGAAUUGGUCUGAUAUCCCUCACCCUUUGGCAAAGCUUUGAAAAAGCAGAGUCCCUCUUUCUGUCUUUCAGUGAACCAACGCUUCUAUGCUUUACCUAUCUUACCUGCGUUAUCAUGUUGACCAUCUUAUUUUCUCCUCUUGUUAUUUAUGCAACAUUUUAUUCAGGCUCUGGCAUCAGUUACUUUCUUCCACCGCCUUUGUCUCCAGUCCACAUAGAUGGCUGAUGCUAUCUCACUUAGAAAUUGAAUAGUCUGGGAGAUUUUAUUUCUGCUUCUAAUCAUUUACUUACAGCUCUGUGGAUGGUGGCGUUUGGCAAACAUCAAUUCUUCUUGUUUUCUCUUGUGUUUGAAUGAAAGUAAUUAUGUUUACAACAAAUUAAGCAUCAUAUUCCCCCCCCCCUCCUCUUGGUGCUCAGUGGAGCCUGAUUCAUCUUCAGCAAGCACUUAGACUUUCUGGCUUUCAUUCGGGCAUCAGGCAG